rnacentral:rRNA from 1 species
UACGGGAGGGGCAAGCGUUGUUCGGAAUUACUGGGCGUAAAGGGCGCGUAGGCGGUUCGAUAAGUCAGCUGUGAAAACCAUGGGCUUAACUCAUGGCCUGCAGUUGAGACUGUCGGGCUGGAGUGUGGGAGAGGAGAGUGGAAUUCCUGGUGUAGCGGUGAAAUGCGUAGAUAUCAGGAGGAACACCGGUGGCGAAGGCGGCUCUCUGGACCACAACUGACGCUGAGGCGCGAAAGCUAGGGGAGCAAACAGG